GCAUCUGCACUCAUCAAUACCAUGUCUUUACCAGCCAUCUUCAUUCGGCUCUCUGCAGAAACCAGAUUGAGACGUUCAUAGAUUACAGAAUCCAGAAAGGAGGAGCCAUCUGGAACGAACUCAAAGUUGUUUCUUGUUAUCUUCUCUGAGAACUAUGCUUCCUCAAAGUGGUGCUUGAGAGAGCUGGUGGAGAUCAUGGAAUGCAAAAAGAAGAAUGAAAAUGAUUGGUGGAUCUAGCUUGGACAUCAGAAGCAAAGCAAGGACACUCCCUGGUCCAGUGAGUAAUCCUUCAAAACUUCCAGAAUGGAACUAUGAUGGUUCGAGCACAGGAUAGUGAAGUCAUCCUAUAACCAAGCUUUCAUUGCACAUGGACAGAGGAGACAAUGUAUGAAUUUAAAUACUUGCCAAAAACUUACUGUGUUGAGUGGGGUUUGCUUUUUGUGUUGAACAAGCCCACAAGCCUUCUUCAAGAACCCAUUCAGGAGGGGAGAAAAUAUUCUUAUAUCGUUGAGGAGAGCAGAUGCUUCAAUGUGGUUGAUGCUGAUCAACAAACUCUCCAAAAAGUCAUUGUUGCCUGUCUUGUUUUCAACGGAGACAUUUGCAAUGGGAGUCAAUGCACCUGCUAGAACUAGUUGGAAGGAAGAUUGUGUAGGGCUUCCUUAAACUUCAAGUGGUAAACAGUUUUUUAUCACUAAUCCUAUCAUCAUUAUUAGUGGAUAAGAUAUGCACAUACGAUGAAAAAGAAGAAUGUUGUAAUAUCGAGUAAAAUUUUAGGAUGAGUCGUUAUAAUUUGUGCUGCUUGUUGCAAUAUCGAGUAGAAUUUUGGGAUGAGUCCGUGUAUAUUUGUAUAAUUUUUUAAGUUUAACAUAGUUUUAAUUUUGUUUUGUUUUUGUUUUCUGUAAAUUUAACAUUGCUCGAUGUAAAGAUAAUAAUGAGCGUACCUAGAAUGAAAGUAGAAGAGAGCGAGGGUUUUAGGUGAGUGAGACUACUAGAGAAAAGUAUUGCCUAUAGUAAUGACAAUGAUUUUAGUUGAGAAUGGUGGAAGGUUUUCUGAUACGUUGUUAUUGGACACAUCCAGAAUCUUGAGUUGUUGUAGACUUGUCAAACUUUCUGGUAUGGAACCGUUCAAUCUAUUCCCACCAAAAUACAAUUCAAUAGAUCCGUUAAAUUCUUGAAUGAAGGAGAUAUUGUCUCCGUCAAAUUCAUGUUGGUCAAAUUUACGGUUCUGA